UAAGCGACAAAUCCACAUUCCUUAAUUACAUCACAGUACUUAUCAGAUAUCUGAUAUCGGGUACAGUACCGCCCUCUGCUAGCGCCGGAUACACUCCACUACAAACCUGUGGUCAGUCUAUAACAAUCUUGUUAACUGCAAUCAUGGUGUAAUUAUGAAAUCAAUAACGAUGUGUUUGCCGAUGGAAGUUUGUUGUUGUUGUCUUACUUUGGAAGUUGGAACGAAGAUUUUAGGUGUGGUUCACAUGGUGAUAACGUCACUAAUAUCUCUGGUAUACGGUCUGGUGUCAGCACAGUUAGACUACCUGGAGCCCCAGCGUCGUCUCUUCUACGGCCUGGUGAGCGCCUCAGCAGCCGCAGCACUGCUGCCCACCUUUCUUAUGACAUAUGGAGCCUUCAAGCAAAAACCAAAAUGGCUGUGGCCGUGGGUGGUAUUGUCGUGGGCGUCAAGCGUGGUGCUUGUCGGGCUGGCGCUGCUCGGCACUGUUCUCAUGACCCUCCCUAGUAAAGGGAAUAACUAUUCUGACAUCAGCACAAUGGUUUCGGUGUAUUUUGUUUAUGCGGUGAUGUUAUACUACUCAGCGUGUGUGGUGAACAGCCGGCGGGUGGAGCUGACGCUGGAGGGCAGGAGCGAGUCUGAGCAACGGCUGAUGAGGAGCAGGCACGUGCCCCGGACACUGCUCUACGAAGGUUACGAGGGUGCAGUCUAGCUGUGAUGAUUUACUAAUCAAGUAAAUGCGGCAGUAAUUGCUUAAGUUUAAGGACAUGAUGGUAGAAAAGCUGAUGGUGGUAAGUAGAACCAUUUUACUAAGUAUCCGAUGCUUUCACUAAUAUUUUAGAUCAUUUGUACUAACGUUAUAAACAGAAACUUGAUUGUUUGCAUUGAAUUAGCUCCGAGAGCACUGUACAGGUUUCGAAAAUUCACCGUGGAAUAUCGGCUAUAUUUUAGUCUUGCUAACCUAAGCGGAGCUGGGAUAGAUC